rnacentral:rRNA from 1 species
GACGAACGUUGGCGGCGUGCUUAAUACAUGCAAGUCAACUGAAGCAGAGGUAGUAAUAUCUCUGUGGAGGUGGCGCACGGGUGAGUAACACGUAGGUAAUCUGCCUUCAGGUCUGACAUAACCUCGAGAAAUCGGGGCUAAUAGCAGAUGAUGCAGCGGCUUGACAUCAAGACAGUUGUUAAAGCUUCGGCGCCUGAAGAUGAGCCNGCGUCUGAUUAGCUAGUUGGCGGAGUAACAGCCCACCAAGGCUACGAUCAGUAGCUGGUCUGAGAGGAUGAUCAGCCACACUGGAACUGAGACACGGUCCAGACUCCUACGGGAGGCAGCAGUAGGAA